AGAGUUUGAUCCUGGCUCAGAGUGAACGCUGGCGGCGUGCCUAAUACAUGCAAGUCGAACGAUGAAGCUUCUAGCUUGCUAGAAUGCUGAUUAGUGGCGCACGGGUGAGUAACGCAUAGGUCAUGUGCCUCUUAGUUUGGGAUAGCCAUUGGAAACGAUGAUUAAUACCAGAUACUCCCUACGGGGGAAAGAUUUAUCGCUAAGAGAUCAGCCUAUGUCCUAUCAGCUUGUUGGUAAGGUAAUGGCUUACCAAGGCUAUGACGGGUAUCCGGCCUGAGAGGGUGAACGGACACACUGGAACUGAGACACGGUCCAGACUCCUACGGGAGGCAGCAGUAGGGAAUAUUGCUCAAUGGGGGAAACCCUGAAGCAGCAACGCCGCGUGGAGGAUGAAGGUUUUAGGAUUGUAAACUCCUUUUGUUAGAGAAGAUAAUGACGGUAUCUAACGAAUAAGCACCGGCUAACUCCGUGCCAGCAGCCGCGGUAAUACGGAGGGUGCAAGCGUUACUCGGAAUCACUGGGCGUAAAGAGCGCGUAGGCGGGAUAGUCAGUCAGGUGUGAAAUCCUAUGGCUUAACCAUAGAACUGCAUUUGAAACUACUAUUCUAGAGUGUGGGAGAGGUAGGUGGAAUUCUUGGUGUAGGGGUAAAAUCCGUAGAGAUCAAGAGGAAUACUCAUUGCGAAGGCGACCUGCUGGAACAUUACUGACGCUGAUUGCGCGAAAGCGUGGGGAGCAAACAGGAUUAGAUACCCUGGUAGUCCACGCCCUAAACGAUGGAUGCUAGUUGUUGGAGGGCUUAGUCUCUCCAGUAAUGCAGCUAACGCAUUAAGCAUCCCGCCUGGGGAGUACGGUCGCAAGAUUAAAACUCAAAGGAAUAGACGGGGACCCGCACAAGCGGUGGAGCAUGUGGUUUAAUUCGAAGAUACACGAAGAACCUUACCUAGGCUUGACAUUGAGAGAAUCCGCUAGAAAUAGUGGAGUGUCUGGCUUGCCAGACCUUGAAAACAGGUGCUGCACGGCUGUCGUCAGCUCGUGUCGUGAGAUGUUGGGUUAAGUCCCGCAACGAGCGCAACCCCCUUUCUUAGUUGCUAACAGGUCAUGCUGAGAACUCUAAGGAUACUGCCUCCGUAAGGAGGAGGAAGGUGGGGACGACGUCAAGUCAUCAUGGCCCUUACGCCUAGGGCUACACACGUGCUACAAUGGGGUGCACAAAGAGAAGCAAUACUGCGAAGUGGAGCCAAUCUUCAAAACACCUCUCAGUUCGGAUUGUAGGCUGCAACUCGCCUGCAUGAAGCUGGAAUCGCUAGUAAUCGCAAAUCAGCCAUGUUGCGGUGAAUACGUUCCCGGGUCUUGUACUCACCGCCCGUCACACCAUGGGAGUUGUGUUUGCCUUAAGUCAGGAUGCUAAAUUGGCUACUGCCCACGGCACACACAGCGACUGGGGUGAAGUCGUAACAAGGUAACCGUAGGUGAACCUGCGGUUG
rnacentral:rRNA from 3 species